GCAGCAGCAGGGAACACAGGAUUGUCCAGAAGCGGGAAAGAGAUGGAGAAGGGGGUGGUUGCUAGCGGAGAGGGGAGAGUGUGAGGUUGGUGCUUCUGGGAUGAGGGGAGCCAGGGAAUGUCUGAGUCCGGUUCAUCCGGCCUCUCUUCCUCUCACAGCUGAGUAUCCUCCAACUGGCAUGGAUGGCAACUACGGCCUCAACAUGUGUUGCCAGUGCUUCUCCUAGUAUGCUGAGGACAUCAGCUUCAUUAAGGAUUGUGAAAGUUCAAAAACCCGCAGCCGACUGCUCACUUAGUCCUCCUGGCUGCAGAAUUUUGAUGAGGCCAUCUUUCGUCCCUGAAACUGUGCUUCCAUAAUUGCUCCCCUCUUGCGCUUACUGCUUUAUUGUCUCAGUAAGCUUUGGACUUUGUUCACUAAUGCUGCUCCUGUUCACCCAUCUGCCCUUCACUCGAUAUCCAAGACCUCCAAGGCCCUUCCAACUUUGCUAUCCUCAUAUAAACCAUGCAGAACCAAAAGGAAGGUGGCAAGAAGGAUGAAGGAUAGAGCUCAGCUGAUUUACUAGUUGAACAUCCC